AGAGACCGCCCAGCAGCCUGGGGACAUUUAGACCGUAAGUCAAGCGUUUUAUAUCCAGAAAGAGAGAAGGCGGCUUCCCUGAACUCAUCGCUCUGAUUUAUAAAGUCAGCGAAUUCUGCGCAGCUCACGGUGGCCAGUGUUUUAUGUUGCCCUUUUAUAUGCACAAUCCAUUUUACGACUUGUUUAAGAAAGAGACAGGAAAAUGCAUGCCUUUCCUGUGUAGAAAAUCGGCAGGCCCAGCGUCUCCAAUCAAUAAAAUCACAUUCUGCUGACUUUGAGCAGGAAGCUGAAAUGUCUUUGCAGGGGGUGUACUCCAGCUGUGGGCGGGGUAGCCAGAGGGUUCUUGGCUUUGAUGUUGAUUUAUUGAAAAAACAAACAAACAAACAAAUAGAUCUGGCGCAAUGCGCGCAUGGUGCAGGCAGGGUGGGGCUCACACUCCUGGAGAGAUUCUGGGGAACAGAGCAAGUCUGCCAGUGCUGUUUCCCAGUGUGAGUUACGGCCUUGCAAGGAAACAGUGGGCAGAGGCUCCAAGCCACCCAGAUUUAUACACUGUAGAGUUUGUGGUUUGUGAGGAGGUGGGAGGGCACCCAACGCUGUCAUGUGUGCACCUUACAAAUUUUCUUUGCAGUCUGUAUUUCUCUUGUCUUCUGGUCACUCUAUGUCCCAAUGAUAGUUUUAUAUGAGCACACUGGAAGGUAUCAGGUGUAUACCCAUAUGUGUAGACAUGUCUGAGACAUAAUCAAAUUCCUUUCUCACAGGGCCUUUGUACCUUGGGCAUGUGGCAUUGGGCAUACAGUAUGGUACAGCUAGACUCUGAGACCUGAGGGAGUUAGGUAGGUCAGGCAGGUGUGUUGAAGAUGCAGCCCUGAUUUGGACCCCAAGGCCCCGAGCUUAUCCAAGCCAUCAGAAACAGUGGGUAGAACAACGCAGGGAGGGGUCCAGGCAGGAUCUGCCUCUGCUUCCCCACCCUUCCCUGCAGACUACAAACCUCAACAAGAGGAAUAACUGCAGUCUACCACUUGGCCCCCUGAACUGGGGCCACCACUGGCCAUGCAAGAUGUGAUUUAGGCUUUGACAGCUGCUCCCUGUCUCUGGCCAGAGUAGCUCCUCUGAUCUUUCACUGUCAGGACUAUGGAACCCAGGAUUGGAGUUGUUGCACCCACACACAGCAGUUAGCCAACUGUCUGUGACUUGGCCUACAGCCUUGAAGCCAACCAAGGGUCAUGAUAGUUUUGCCCAUCCCACCUGGAAACUGUUCUUGUCCCUGAACUCGUGGUCCUUUGGUGCUCUGCUGUGGAGAUUCUCAAACUAACACUGCUGUGCUCCCAAACACCCUCCUCCACUUGCCCACAGAUCUGGCUUCUCCAAUCCCCUGCCUCCACCUGCCCACAGAUCUGGCUUCCCCAUUCCCCUGGCUUUUUGUGGACCCUCCCCUCAGCCUGCAUCUCCUUCACUUGUACUAAGAUGCCACUGUGGCUCCCAAGGUCCCUCAAGGUCCUCCAAAUCCUCCUGAGGCCCCCUCCCUUGCCCUUUCUCAAAACCUUUGUGUUUCCUUCCGAGUUUUGGGAUCCUUCUUGCAUGAUCUUGGCCACUCAGGUUGUUGUGUUCAUCCUACCUUGAGCCUGUGUUCUCACCUUGACCCCACCUCCCUCUUCCUUUCUGCCUUUGGUUGAUCUCCAUGGCUUAUCCAGGUUUCUCUGCUGACUGCCUGGGAGCAGCCCAGUGCUCCUGGACAUGUCCCCUCCUCCCUGCUUCUCAUCCUGCUUGACUGGCAGCUUGAAGCACCACCCUCUGCGCACACUUUCCCUCCCUCGAGUCCCAGACACAGCAUCCCCAGGCAGAAGGAGACUGCCUUUCCUCUACAUAUCUCUGGCUCUUUCGGUCUCUUUUCCCUUUCUUUUUUUUGUUUUGUUUUUGUUUUUGUUUUUUCGAGGCAGGGUUUCUCUGUGUAGCCCUGGCUGUCCUGGAACUCACUUUGUAGACCAAGCUGGCCUCGAACUCUUUUCCCUUUCUUACCACCAAGUUCUUUCUUUGCCCCUUCUUUAGACUCAGCUUCUGUACUAUCUACCCUGUGAGCACUUGGGAGGUGGGGGGCUCAGUUCUCCUGGAACCAUGGGACCGAUCAAUCAGGGUGGGGGAAUAGGAGAUAUCAGCAGCCAUGCCAGGAAAGCCCAGAGCAGCAGCCAGGAAAGCUGCAUGGAGAAGCUCGGCUUAUGAAUGUUGUUUUUGAAACAACCAGUUGCAUCUAAUCGAAUAAUGGUUCCUGAAACUCACAGCUAAUUUGUUUCCAGGAUCAACCUUUCAAGCUUGCUCCAGUUGGGAUCUGUUUGCUGCCUCUCGGUGUCUGCACAUGUCGGUCGCCUUAGCUCCUCAUCCCACUUUGCCUGCUCUGAAUAAUUCACACAUACCAAAUUGCUUCUCGCUCCUGCUGCUGAAGCCUGGCGAGAGAGCUGAGUGGGGUGGGUUGGGGCCAGGAGAAGACUUUCUUCUACCUUCUUUGACCAGGGGCUCUGGGCCAUCUGAAGCUAGAGCAAAAGGCAAGAGGCUUGGGAGCCGUGGGGGAGCCUCUGUGCAUUCUUUGCCUUGACCCAAUGUUCUCUUCCCACAGGUACAGAGGAUGCAUACAAGGAAUACAGCCUUGUCUGGCGACAUUGGCUCCUCAGAGGGUUAAGACUGGAGCAUUUGCAAGCUUGAGGUCAGCCUGGGUUACAUAUGAGUUCAAAGUCAACCUGAACAGCUCACAGAGACCCAGUCUCAAGCUAAAUAGAAAUGAGCUAGGGAUGUGAUCUGCAGUACAGCAAGCAGAGCCCCUCAGCAGCCCUUGGUGUGUCUGACAGACCUCCCAGGAGAGGACAAGAGCCAGAACCUCAGUAUCUUGUGCCUCAAGGGAGGACAAGCUCUUCCUGGCUCCCCUCAAGUUGAGCGCACAGUGGGUGUCUCUCCAGCUCUAGACAUGUCUGUUAAGCUGUAGUGAAGGUUCUGGAAGCCAAGUGUAAACUCCUGCUGGAUUUCAGUCUUCCCAGUGGGAAGCAGUAGUCCUCUUCUUCUCUUGUGUACCCAGUGGCUACUCAUCCUCCAUCUGUCCUCCUAGUCAGAGGUUGUCAGCUGGGGCCCCACAGCAUUCCAGAGCAACUUCACUCCUUGGCUUUCUAUUGGCCAUUCUGAUAUGAGUGGCGGAAAUCUCACAGCAGCCCAGUAUGUUCUGCAGGGUGUGAACAGUCCAAUGCCCAGGGUACCCUGGGGGUACUCAUGAGAGUCUACUACCAGAGUGACACCUCUGUAUGGUGGUGUUUGUGUUUAUGUGGUGCUGGCCUUACAUGGCCAUGGUUCUAAAGCAAGCAUGGAGUGCAGAGCAGGUGCCUGGCAUCCUUCCAGGAAAGACAUAGUAACUCAGGUGUGGCGGGACAUGUGCGGAAAAACGAAGUCCUCAUGGGUGCCUGUCUCCCCUGUAGCUCCAGACCUCACUGUGGGGGGAACGUGGACUCUACUAAUGGGUUGGCUGUACUGAGCCCCCCCCGCCCCCAUGCCAGGACUACUAUGGGCCCCUGGGAGAGUUGAGGACCAGGAGGGAAUUUCUGACUUCUGCUGGGUGGACAUCAACAUCUGUAGGGGGACGGGCACAUCCAGCCACCAUCGGGUGGCUGGGUUAGGAGGUGAUUGAUGGGCAGUGGUCUGGGCGCCUGGAGACUCGUGUUCCCACGAAGGCUGGAAGUGAGGGAUCUGACAGCCGAGUUUUCCUUUCCCACCCCUUGCUUUGGGACUCCACAAUAGUGCCAUUGCUUUGGCAGAAAGGCAGAUUCACCCAUCAGGAUAGCUGGGUAAGUAAGUCUCUGUGUCCACAUGCAGACUUAAUUUUCUAAUGUGAGGAAAGUGGGGGAUGUUUAUCAAUGGGUAAGAUAUUGAGUGCCAGAGGCUCAGUCCAAUGCCACGCAUUGUGAUUGGCAAAGAGGAAAGGGAUAGCAGGUAGCCAGGCCAUCCUGCCCAGUCCCUCUGCGUUGGGCAUUCGAACCUACUGUGAGUAGGUUCUAUCUACCUCUGCCAUCCCCACCCUGUCCUGGAGAUCCCAAGAGGCAUCCUGGGCCAGUCUCUGAGUUAUCACUUGCCGAAGGGUUGGCCCAAGUACUCCUUAGGAGGGUCUCUGAGUGAGUCCUUACAAAUCUUACUGAAUAGGUUGCACUCAGGGUUUCAGACAGGUCAGCGUGUAGUUGGGGCUGUUCGGUUCUGCAAGCAUCCUCCACCCAAGUCAGUGCCCCAGGCCCUCAUGCCUACGAUGUUCCUUUUAAAAGAUCCUGAUGGAGAGUAAAAAAUUAUUUAAGCCCCUAGACCAAAUGUGUCCAAAAUAGCCCCAUUGUUUCAGGAUGUCAGGUGUUUGAGGGUUUUGCCAGGUGUUUGUGGUUUGUGUGUCUAUAUAAACCCCUUACCCCUUGAGCUCAUUGUCGACUCCUCUACCCCUGCAUGGGAUACAAGUCGUCUCCAGUGCACUGAUCUUUCUCGAAUAAACCUCUUGCAGUUUGCA
rnacentral:lncRNA from 1 species